UGAGAUUUCGGGUACUAGUACAAAAAAGAUGGGAAAGCUUCUUUCUAAAUACUUACUGUCUGAAUUGGGCGAAUAUGCAUGUGCAAAAUUAAUUUCACAAGGAAAACCUGCUGAAUAAUCUGGAAGUCUGCUUCAACUGAACUGUCACGUUGAAGUCCGUUUGCUCAGCCCUGGGAGAGAAAGACCUUUGCCCACUGAAGAAAGGGAAGAUGUACGAGCCACUGUGAAAGCCAGAUGGUGUGGAGUUCUUUUUAAGAGGCUGGGAAUAUCACCAUCUUCUGAAGGAGGAAAUGUUUUUGGACAAUUUUCCUCUUCUGCUUUCAAGAGUCAAGGAAGAUAUAUAACCUUAGAUCCAGGACCUUUUGAGGAAUGGACAAAAUAUGACAGAGACAAGAUACUAAGCCAGAGAGAAGUUAAAGAACCUGUUCGUGUCCAUAGUAUUCCAAGUUCACACGGUUCUGAGAGAAAAAGGAUCUCUGCUUAAAUGGGACUGCUUUGUUGAGUCUUGCUUUCAAGCAAAGUGCAGCUUACCUGGUGAAAGGACAAGAGCCUCCGCGAUUUGUCAGCUCAGCAGCGUCAUCCAGGACCCAGAUCUGCCCAUCUUUCUGCUCUCCUGUCCUCGGCACACGGCUAGGCACAUUCCUGCCACCUCACCACUGGACGUUGUCCACUCUGGUUUCAAGCAUCACAGGUGUUCAUGGUGACGUUCCCCAAAGACAAAGAGCACAUAUGGCUCCGUGACGUUUCUGGGUUAGGAGAGAAAAAAACACUUCCAGGAAGGCGCCCCUGCAGGUGUCGGUGUUAUGUCUCGUUGGCUGCGGUUGUGUCUCAGGUCCAGCCCAGAAUGACUCAAUGUCAAGGGGGUAAAAUUAUUAUGAUUGGCUUACAGUCAUUCGCGUUUACCUCCCGGGGCUGAGCACUUCCCCAGAGUGCAUGAAAAUGGGAGCAACUGAACUAAAGCAGGCAAGGAAAGUGGGGGAGGCCCCCAGCAUCCCUCCCACGCUUGUCCUGGGCAAAGCUUAGGUGUGGAGUCACCUCCUCCCCAGCACCCCCUGACUUCCUCCUCUCCUGGCACCAGGAAUCAUCUGUACUUAUUUUGUUAAUUUGAUUAUUGCUUUUUUUUUUUUUUUAAACUUCCUGAAACUCUGUAAGAGUAGGGACUCUUGUAUCCUUGGUACUAAGCACAAUGGAGAUGAGUAGUAAGUAUUUUUACUAAUAAUACAAAAAAGGAAUUAUAUAAUUCACAGUGUCAUCAAACAUUAAUCUCUCUAUUGGGAAGAAAUGAAACCUUCCCUAAAAAGAGCUUAUUUUUUUUUCCAGCUUAUAAAAGAAACAUGAUGUAAUAAUACCCCAAUGAGGGUACAUUGUUCCCAAAGUCUUGAAUCACUGGAUAUGGCUGAUCUGAAAUUCACUGAACAACUGUGCCUGAGUCAGGCUCCUGGCAGGAGGCAAAGAGCUGGGCACGCUCUGAGUGAAUUGAAGGGGUUUGGAUGGAGAGCCCCGGUGUAGGGAGAAGCAAAAAGCAAGGGAUGGGAACGGUGAGUCACAACUGAAAUCUGUUCACCGUGCCAAGGCCCAAGGGCCAUGAAGAAGCAGCUGGUCUGGGUCUGCAUUAGCGCUCUAGCAGUGACAAGAGGACUCCUUGAUGGGGGCGAACUCUGGGCAGAGAGCCACAGCCAAAGGACGAUGGCCUGGCAGGAGGGAGCCAGGAGAAUGUCCCAGCCUCCCUCUCUUCUUCCCUUCAAAUGAUCGGAACCAGGCUGGAAGCCAGAGGGGAAGGUCUAUUCCAUACACACACACACACACACACACACACACACACACACCCAUACCAUAUAUGCGGUGUAUGUGAUACGUGUGUGUAUGUGUGUAUACAUACACACACCAGAUUUGUGGUGCAUAUACAUACAUAUACACGGAGGACCAUAUAUGGUAAGUAUAUAUACGACAGAGUACCAUCUAUACAUAGUGUAUAUAUACACACACUAGAUACAGUAUCCCAUAUAUAUAGUAUAGUGUAUAUAUAGUUCCUUGGGUUUCCUUUGGUUUCUACAUAGAAAGAUACAUAUAUUUGUAAAUUUGAAUAUAUAUCUGGAAAGAGUUCCCAGCUCAGUUUUCCUAUUUUUCCACUCAAAAUUCAUUAUUGUCCUUUGUUUGUUGUGCCUCCCUUAAUUAAAAAACAAAAAAACAAAACCCUCACACUUACAUCUCCAGUGAGAGGGAAACACAAAAUCCCCAUCAACUACUGUAUUAUUUCAAGGGAAAUUAAUGUAGUCAUACUCUAACCUGGAAGCUGAAUUGUGAAAUUGAAUCCCUACCGGUAUUCAUUACAUAAGGUAGCAAGAGACUGUGGGAGAAAGAAAUUAUUCAUUGACACAAAACACAGCGGCUCUGGACCCUGCUUCUGUCAUGCUAAUUACACGAAUAAGCAUAGUUUCCUUCUUUCCCUAACAAUUUCCCGUUCUUCUUGUGUACUGACAGCACCUACAGCUUAAUUCAUAUGAAAUUUAAGUCUUAAGUGGUCUUUGCUUUGUUGCUUGGCUGCGGGUUUCCAUUGAGGUCUGAGGACCAAGAUGCCACAGUCAUGUCCUGUCCCUUCCAGGGCAAACUUAGCGGCGGCUGAGCACGUCCCAUCUCUUAGACCCUGUUACUAAGCCACUGGCCUUGUUCACUCACAAUUUCCCUUGAGAAUUUCUCCUGUUAACCUCAUUGGAUAUAGAUGCCCAUUGAUUAAAGAACUAAUCAGUCAUGCAGACUGUUAAUACCAUUCCAGGUGUUCAAGUCAAUUUAUGGAACCCCAAAUCCCAAAAGAGUGCGUGCAUUUAAGUAAAUUUAGUCAAGAUUUCAUCUGAUACUCUUCAUCCUUAGCUUCCGAUGGUGACAGAGGGAGGUGGAGAUUCUGAGUUCUCAGCUCGAAGUAUGCUUCCCCUAAUGCCGUUAUCCCGAGUGUCAGAAUCCCAUCUCUUCCCUGCCUCAGCACUGGAGACCCACAGGUGCCAUAUGGAACUCCGUAGGGGAGACAGGGUUGACCAUUACUUUGAGUGAAGUCAGGGCUUCACAUCCAUCUCUCCGCUCGCAUCCAUCCCCUAGGCAGCCAGGAAUAGUUCGUCCUCCCGACAGUCUUGGUUAACGUUAUUGCUGCUUUGGUAACCUCACCCAGAUCUCUCCCCACGCCUGACCUGCCUCCCACAGCACCCCCAGCUGGAGCCAGGAGAGCGUCAGGGAGGCCACAGCACACCCCAGACUUGCAAGGCUCCUCUUCCCCUUCCAGGAGCAGAUGUCUGUGUUGAUGCCAUGCAGGAGCCAUCCUAUCCUGUUAUCCUGUUUUGAAGAGGCUGGUAACUGCUGAAAGCUGUUAGCUCAGUCGGGCUUGAAGGACGGUGGAGAGGAGGCUGUUCGCUGUAGCAGAGGGAGAACACCCGCACGAUGGGAGCGUUUGAUGCAGGGCUUUAGUUUUGGACUCGAGACUGUGGUAACUGAAGAUUUCUGCUUCUGGCCAUGAUGGAUUAGUGUGCAGCUGACUAAACCCAAAGCCAAGAACACAAGAGAAGAAUCCUCUGGACUCCCUGAGAAAGAGCCUGAGCUGACCGUCUGGGGUAUAAGAGGCUGUGGGGAAGAGAAGGGAAGCCAGAUAGCCCCCCAGAAGGAGAGAGAACCCGCUGACCCGCAGCCACCCUCAACAGAAGAGAGAGCCCAGUGGCCUGUAGAUUAGAUCCCUUCAGAGACUGGCCUUUCUUCUGGUGCUCUGUUUCAGCUAGAAGAUGGCUAACUGCCGGGGGAAGAUGCAGAGUGAGACUGGCACUCAGUGAUCCGAAGGCUCUGCUCACCCUUGUCCAUCCGUUUUCUCCAGAGUACCUUCGUGCUUGGUAGAAAAGGCAGACCUGAUUAGUAUAAGUCACAAGUAACACAACAAAAUCAUCAUUUCCAGACUUCGUCGAGCCCCAGCUAAUAGCAGGUGUCCUGGAGAAAUGAGCGCUCCUUGACUACUGAGAACAGAGCUGCUCGUGGGAGCUGUUUGAAAUGUCCCUCUCGGAAAUGAUUCUGGCUAGAUAUUCAAGAGGAGACAGAAGAAUCCUAGCUCCAUGAAUAUAUUAAUUUCUAAAGUCAUAAAUGUGCAUUUUUUUGUUUUACAUCGCAGUCUCUGGCAUAAAAAUUAAAUCCAAACCUUAAAAAGUAGGAUAAAAAUCCUAAAAAUAAAGGGAAAUAAAAGUAGCGAAAUGCUACAAGAAUAGAAUUUAAGACAUGUUUUCUUUAGUGUCAAGGGAGGUUCGUGAUGCGUUGACCUCAAAAGCUCAUCUGCUAACUACAUCAUGGCAAGGACAUCACUUAAGUGGCUGGUCUUCCGUUCUCCCCCUGAUGAAAUGAGAGUAGGACUGACUUCCUGGUUUCCAGGCAAUGUGUGGAGGACUCUGGAGAGCAGGAAAACACUGAGACAAGGAAUACACUUUGUUUUCCACUCUAUGUAUCACUAGCAGCUCGGGUUAACUCUUUGACAGCUGAAAAAUAGAAAACCAAGCAAAAUUAUUAGAUCUCCUCUUUCUGCCCAGUAUAAGCCAGCUGCAAGCAGGAUAUUCGCUUUCCCGCCAUUUUCCUAUCAACCGUCACACUGAACUUCGGUUUUUGAGUCAAAGAAUGUUGAUAAAGGGAAAAGAAAACAAGUUACAUAAAAUCGUUUGGAGUCUUGGGUUCGUGUAUGUACAAGUUCACCAGAUGAACCUACUCAAAGGCUGUCUUUGAAAUCUCGGAAUAAAAAGUGUUAUCUUGUGCCAUUAAAAUCUGAAUUUAGAGAGCGCAAAUCAGAGAACACUCAAAUGAUAGACAGUCUUGGGAAGUCUAGGACAGUAAAGGAUACUGGUCAUCUGCACCUGGUCUCUUAACCAUCCUCUGUGGCUUUCCCAAGCCCGCGAGUGAGGCUCUCACACCUGUGAUUCCUGUGACAGAACCAGAAGGGUCCAAGAAGAUUUGAUAGAAAGCACGCCUGCGCACAUGUGCAGGGGGGAGGGGCAGAGCGAGAGAAUCUUCAGCCUCCCCGCUGAGCCCAGAGCCCCACACAGCUGGACCCCACGACCCUUGAGAUCAGGAGGUUGAAGUCAACAUGACGGACAGUUAAAGGAGGAAGAAGAAUGUAAAAUGGCAUCAUCAUGAACAAGAUGGAACCCGCAGACCAGAGCCGGCACCUAGGAGGAUGGGCAGGAACCUGUAUGCAGCUCCAUGGUUCAGCUUGUCUUCUACUCCAAGAUGCCUUUUGGGUUCAGAGGGAUGCAGUGGAAACUCCCACCCCCUGAACAUCCUUCCUGGAGGUUUACAUACAAUAUACAGCCCAGACAGAGCAGGAAUAGCACGCUGGGAAAUAAGCUUGCACUGAAAUACAUGAGUAUGGCAAGAGUGCCCUCAGGCAAAGAGAAUGUGGCUUUUUGAGAAAAGGAUCCAAUUUGGGAAGUAGGAAAGGCACUUCCCGGGCCACACAGAGAGCAUACAUAUCAUGAAUGUAUCCAACUGAGCUGUUAUACUGAACAAAGCAACUGAACUUGGGAAGUGCUUCUCUCUGUGCCAGCUUCCCCCCAAAAAGGAAAUAAAUUGGAGUGGUCUUUUCGUGGACUGAGCGUGGCCGUGGUGGGGGCCCUGAGAGUCCAGAAGGCUGGGAUUGGAGUUCCAUUUUCCUAACAAAUGAAUAAUCUGUCCUCAAUCCGAAUUGGUUGAACACUACAGCCUUCAUUGUUUCCAUGUCAUUUAAUGCCCAUAAAAAUGAAUUCACUGGAAUUCAAUGGCUGUCGGCUCAGAAUGUUUGCAGUGUGUUUGUGCUGGACUCCAGGACCGAUCGGUUCCGUUUUUUGUUAAUUUGCUUUCUCUGAAAGAACAUUAGCCCAAGAAUAAAGAAAGUAGAGAGGAUACUCAGGAUUCCAUCACAAAUUAAA